GACUUUAGUGCAAGCUGUUAGUUUGAAAAGCAAAGCAUUACAGGAGUUUAGCACCAAUUUUUUUGGACUGAUCUUGUUGCAGUAAAAAGCAAACUAAUCAACAGUUGAUUGAGGACUUUGAUGGUAAUAGUGAUGAUUAGUUAAACUUCAUGGUGUUUAAAACAAGGAACUUAUUGGAAUGCCAAGGUCUAUCCACACAGGCAACUCAGGUUCUUGAUCACUACUACAACUUUGUCCCUAGAACCACCAUCUAGGAACAAGGAAGGUACUACUCUUCUCUGUUCACUGGCACCUAGGUGGAAUGAACUUCCCCUAAAUAUCUGUACACCACAUUCCCUCGGAUCCUCCAUCACUAUUUGACUGGAACCACCAUCUCUCAGGGUACAAGAAAGUUCAGCAUCAAGGAUUUUCUCUGUGGUGCCAGAAUGUGGAACUUCCUAUCUGAACACCUGAGUCACUGGCUGUUUUGAAAGGAUGUCUAAAGACCUACAUCUUUUUGAGGUUUGGGGGCAACAAGGAGAGUUAACCCCUCAGUGGUUGAGUUGAUUCCCUGCCUGGGAAUCGAACCAGGACAAGGCAGUGAGAGAGCGGGAUCCUGCUGCUCACCCACUAGAGAAUUGAGGUCAUGGGAAGCCUGAAGCCUAUCUCAGGGAACACCCUGGACAGGGUGCCAACUCAUCACAGGGCACAAACACACACAAACUACUAUCUUUUGACCUUCCAGUCAGCCUGCAACACAUGCCUUUGAACUGGAGGAGGAAACUGGAAUACCCAGAAAAAAUCCCAGAAGCAUGGGGAGAACAUGCAAAAUCCUCACACACAGGGAGGAGAUGGUAAUCAAUCCUCCAACCUCAGAGGUGUGAGGCAAGCCUGUUAAACACUAAGCCACUGUAAGGCCAUAAAUGCCCCUUGUAAAUAAUUAAAUUGUAAAAAUUAGAUUGAUGUUGCUCAACUUCCAGACACUGUUGUUAAUUUAAAAGAAUAAGUCUCAGAGUGGUAACAGAUGUCAUACCUCCUGAUGGUCCAUAAUUAUCCUGUAACAGUAAGUUCUGUUGUGUUUUUUUACUUAAGUAAUUCCCCAAAUUAUGGUUUGCAUUUCUGAUUCAUGAUUAUUCAUCAUUUCUGGUAAUUUAGAAUCUUGUUCUGUUUUCUUCCAUCACACAGAUACAGAAUCUGCCUGGCACACCUCUCCUGAAUUACUCAGGUAUCUGUAUGAGCAUGUUAUGAGUCCACACUGCAGCACCUUGAUGUUACAUGUCUCCCAUUGUUGCAGUUUUUUUAGUUCUUUGUGAAAUUUGAGAAUGGUUGUGACUGCUUCGGCUAUUUCCAGGCACAUCAGUCCGUGUCCUUCCCAGGAAGAGAAGCAAAGCACAUUAAUUCUUAUUCAAGCAAGACAGGCGGACUAUUAAGUUCUGUAGUUCAUUAACCAUAAUGUCCAUUUCUAUAAUCUGGUAGGGUCUCACUGUUAGUCCUCUGGAUCACACACAGUUUUUUUCUUUUUUAACUUUGUACAUUGCCCUUACACAGGAAUUGUGUUUCACAUGAUAAUCAGAAAACCUAAAAAUACUUCCCUUCCUUUUAUUUUUCCAUUAAAUAUUUCUUAAGGGGUUGAAGGGUUUUUUCUUUCUUUUUUGCCUGUUGGAUACCCUUACACAGAAUUUUAGUAGUUGAAGAUGCUUAUGAACAAGAACUUGGGACAUCUCAGAAAGCAGAAAUGGGAUUGAUAUGAACAUUUACUCUGAAGAUUAAUGAACUUUUGUGUGGAAAAAAAUGUUUGUUUUUUUGUGUUAAGUAGGGUAACAGGUUAGGUAAAAACAGAAAUACUUAUGGCACUGCAAAUUCUUAAAACCCUGAGUGUCUACUUUAAUAUGAACUUCAUAUUAACCACCACUAUGGAGUGGGCCAUGACAAAGACACUCAAUGCUGAAAAUGGACACAACAAAACUGGAGGAAAUUGCAUGUUUUGAUUUCUGAGGAAAAAGAGCUAUAUACUGUGAUUGUGAGUCCAGGUGAGUGCAAUGAAUAAGAUGCUGAAAGUGAAUGAAUCUGUAUUGUAAUCCUAAACUUCAGUCAGUUCAUAAAAAUGUGUUACUCAGAAAGAAACUACAAAUUUUCCUAAAUGUGAUUCUUUUGCACAGAGUAAUCUCUUCCCAUCAUCAAACAGCUCAAAUACUCCCUAAUACUCUCAUUCACAACUGUUGCCUUCCACCCCGCAGCCCCCCCCAACCCCCAGACCCCCCCCCCAACAGUUUUUUAAGGAAAACACUACGUCUUCCUUCCCACAGAGGCAUACUUAGCGUGACUAAAUCCUAUCUAUGGCUGCUAAUGUUUAAUAGCUCUGCAUUUGUUAGUCUGCUACAAGAGCUUUUAUUUCAAGUUAGAAUAACAUUAUCUUUGAUGCUUUGCAUGCUAUGAGCUUAAUGGACCACCCGGUGGGUCUGAGGCAUGAACUGCAGACAAACAAGUGACUCAUUAUCUGUUGAACAUAGAUAGUAAAUGUUUAUUCUUACCACCAACUGUGUGGAGAAGUGAUUUAUAAUCAUUUAAUGGGUGCUGCAUAAUGUAUGGAAAAUAACAAAAUUAUACUACAGUACAAUAUUCCGUCUGGUCUGACAUUCCUGACGUGUCUAGCCCUAACUACAAAUUUAGCAUAGCAACUGGUGUACAUGAUGUAUUUUGACUGUAUUUAUAUCCUGGGUUUGACAUAAGUAUGGAUAGGUGAAAGCAUGAACCAAGAUAUGUUCCAAAAUAAAACAAAAAAUUAUAGUAUUAGUAAAGUAUAGUAUUAGUAUCAUAUAAAG